AUACGUAGGGGGCGAGCGUUGUCCGGAAUGAUUGGGCGUAAAGGGCGCGUAGGCGGCCCGGUAAGUCUGGAGUGAAAGUCCUGUUUUUAAGAUGGGAAUUGCUUUGGAUACUGUCGGGCUUGAGUGCAGGAGAGGUAAGUGGAAUUCCCAGUGUAGCGGUGAAAUGCGUAGAGAUUGGGAGGAACACCAGUGGCGAAGGCGACUUACUGGACUGUAACUGACGCUGAGGCGCGAAAGUGUGGGGAGCAAACAGGAUUAGAUACCCUGGUAGUCCACACUGUAAACGAUGAAUACUAGUUGUAGGGGGUAUCGACUCCCUCUGUGCCGCAGUUAACACAAUAAGUAUUCCGCCUGGGGAGUACGGCCGCAAGGUUGAAACUCAAAGGAAUUGACGGGG
rnacentral:rRNA from 1 species